rnacentral:misc_RNA from 1 species
UCUUUUUUUAAAUUUUUACAAUUACGUAAUUAUAGGAUAGUUUCUAUCGGAUUAAUUAGAUUAAAUACUCAAUUCGAUAUUUGAGACGAAAUCAAAAUGUAUAGAAACCACACCGGAAGUCUUAUAAUUCCAUAUAAAUUCCGUUCCGUAUUCGGGUACAAAACGCAGACGCUUGCACCAACUUUGAUCAGACGGGUAGGUCACGUGUUAAUUUCAUUUAUUGCGUCGCGGCUAAGUGUUUAUUGCUUUAGUAGUCCUUUACCGUAUAAUUUGUCCGAAGACCGCAAAAUGGAGUAUAUCUAUCGUGGACAAAAGGCCUAAGAUAUCGGCCGAACCAUAAACAAUGUCGCGAGAGCCGCGGCAUCGUCGGGUACAUCA